rnacentral:rRNA from 1 species
GAUGAACGCUGGCGGCGUGCCUAAUACAUGCAAGUCGAGCGAACAGACGAGGAGCUUGCUCCUCUGACGUUAGCGGCGGACGGGUGAGUAACACGUGGAUAACCUACCUAUAAGACUGGGAUAACUUCGGGAAACCGGAGCUAAUACCGGAUAAUAUAUUGAACCGCAUGGUUCAAUAGUGAAAGACGGUUUUGCUGUCACUUAUAGAUGGAUCCGCGCCGCAUUAGCUAGUUGGUAAGGUAACGGCUUACCAAGGCAACGAUGCGUAGCCGACCUGAGAGGGUGAUCGGCCACACUGGAACUGAGACACGGUCCAGACUCCUACGGGAGGCAGCAGUAGGGAAUCUUCCGCAAUGGGCGAAAGCCUGACGGGCAACGCCGCGUGAGUGAUGAAGGUCUUCGGAUCGUAAAACUCUGUUAUUAGGGAAGAACAAAUGUGUAAGUAACUAUGCACGUCUUGACGGUACCUAAUCAGAAAGCCACGGCUAACUACGUG